rnacentral:lncRNA from 10 species
AGUGCCACCAGAGAAGCCGCGGACCCGGCCCGCAGAUAACACCCGGGCUUGCAGAGCGCUUUCAUCUGCCCGACGCGGAAAUCUCCUGCAGCGAUCUUCUACCUUCAGCGUGCAUCCGCAGCACCCAGAGGGCACGUUAAAGAGAGAUUGAGAACCACCAGCAAAACUGCUGAUUCACUCAGACCAGAUGGCAUCUGAGAUAAAAUACGCAUUGAAUAAGAUAAAUGACCGCUUGACUAUUACAUCCUUAAUGUGGAAUGUUAAAUAGACCCUUCCCAAAAAGAAACACUGCCUUGAACCAAUCAAAUUGCUAUGCGUUAACCUUCUAUGGAAAAUGUUGACAUCCUGUUAAGCUUCCCAGACCCUGCCUGUGUAAACGACCCUCAAACUUCUCCCUUUCGAAGCACUGACCCCCAUCUUUUGGAGUCUGUGUCCUACCGGGUCGCCAUCCUCAAACUUUGCACUCAAAUAAACCAAUAUUUAAUCAUAUUGCCCGAAUCUCAUUAUUAAGGUUUACGUAAGCGUUUACUUAGUAAUGAAGGUUGCAACCAGGAUGGCAAAUCAGAGAUUGUGCCACUGGAGAGGGGCAAGGGAGCUUAUGUUUAUAGGAAUUUAUUUGUUACAUAAAUUGUCAGAUUAGUUCAUUGGUGAAUUAAACGAAGAAGUCUUUAGUCAUUACUAGAAGAGUGCGUUUGCGUCUGUCAGAAACAAAACAAAAAAACUACAUACAGAAUAUUCUUUCUUUUUUGGGGGGGGGACGGAGUCACGCUCUGUCGCCCAGGCUGGAGUGCAGUGGCACGAUCUCGGCUCACUGCAAGCUCCGCCUCCCAGGUUCACGCCAUUCUGCUGCCUCAGCCUCCCAAGUAGCUGGGACUACAGGCGCCCGCCACCAUGCCCGG